AGACAAAGCCCAACGAGUCUUCUGAGUGUCUGCGGACUAAAAUAACCAACUGGGGGCCGAGUCGUCACCAGUUCAGCGUGGAGCAUAUUCUGCUGCAGAGCUCACACCUGGCAGGGAGUUUGGGUUUUGCUUAUGGGCACUUUGGAAGGCGAGCCAGAAGUGAGAUCUCAUUACUGGCUGGUCCCAAGUGCCAGUCCUGGCAGAGACUUCAUCAUUGCACUCAAUGGCUGCAAAGCGGCGUGGAAGUUCCCCUCAGCUGUCGAUGCGAUGAAGAUAUGGUUGAAGUUAUAUGAUAACGUUAAAGUUGGGUUU